GAGUUUGAUCGUGGCUCAGAUUGAACGCUGGCGGCAUGCCUUACACAUGCAAGUCGAACGGCAGCAUGAUCUAGCUUGCUAGAUUGAUGGCGAGUGGCGAACGGGUGAGUAAUACAUCGGAACGUGCCCUGUAGUGGGGAGUAACUAGUCGAAAGAAUUAGCUAAUACCGCAUACGACCUGAGGGUGGAAAGUAGGGGGACCGGCAAGGCCUCAUGCUAUAGGAGCGGCC
rnacentral:rRNA from 1 species